rnacentral:rRNA from 1 species
GUGAAAUUGUUGUAAAGGGUAAACGAUUGAGGCCAGUCAUGCCUGCGAGAAAUCAAUCAGUUUAAUACGGGGUUUUCUUUUGAAUUUGAUUACUUGGUGCACGUUUUUCGCGUGGCAGGUUAGCAUCAACUUUGAUUGUUGUAAAAUGGUGGUCGGAAUGUGACUCGUUUUUGAGUGUUAUAGCCGAUUUCAGAUGCAACGAUUCGGGGGGGUUGAGGUUUUGCGGCAAAUGCCUUUGGGGCUACUUACCUUCCUUCUGAUCUGUUCACUUUGAAAUGACAGCUUGCUGAUAUUUUAAAGGGCGUUCAAUCAAUAGGGUAGAGUAUUGAUAAAUUUGCCAAGGAUGCUGACGUAAUGGCUUUAAACGAC